AUUGAACGCUGGCGGCAUGCCUAACACAUGCAAGUCGAACGGUAACAGGAAGACGCUUGCUUCUUUGCUGGCGGGAGGCGUGAGGGUGACUAAUGUAUGGGCAACGGCCUGAUGGAUGGGGCUAAGUACUGGAAACGGUUGCUAAUACCGCAUAACGUCGCAAGGCCAGAGAGCGCGAGCUUCGGGCCGCUUGCCAUCGGCUGUGUCCAGAUGGGAUUAGCUAGUAGGUGGGGUAACGGCACACAUAGGCGACGAUCUCUAGCUGGUCUGAGAGCAUGACCAGCCACACUGGAACUGAGACACGGUCCAGACUCCUACGGGAGGCAGCAGUGGGGAAUUUUGGACAAUGGGGGCAAGCCUGAUGCAGCCAUGCCGCGUGGAUGAAGAAGGCCUUCGGGUUGUAAAGUACUUUCGGCAGGAAGGAAGCGAUUAAAGUUAAUAUCUCUUCUUAUUGACGUUACCCGCAGAAGAAGCACCGGCUAACUCCGUG
rnacentral:rRNA from 1 species